UUCACAUCACACACUGACAACAUGCUGGGGACACUCUGCACUCUCAUCACUGCUCUAACAUACUCUACCCUCCCUCCGCCUGUCUUGACCAUCUUCCCUCCGUCCAGCGAUGAGUUGAAGUCCAGCAAAGUCACCCUGGUGUGUCUGGCCAGUCAGAUGGCCAUGGGCUACGCUGUUGUCAGCUGGACCGCGGGAGGGAAUCCGGUCACCGGCGGCAUCGCUACGAGUGGCCCGGUGCCGCAAGCCGACAAGACGUUCCAACUCAGCAGCUGUCUGACCGUUGACACGUCAGAAUGGAACCAGGACAAAGUGUUCUCAUGUAAAGUCACCGCGGGCUCCAAGUUCGCUGAGAAAGACAUCAAGAAGUCUGUAUGCAGCACUGAAUAGCCUGAGAACCAUUGUAAUAUCCAGUUGAUUUUCUACAUCACAUUUCAAGAUAUUGUUAAUGCAUUAGAAGUUUAACCUGCAUAUAUACAUUAUGUUCCAUGAAAGAUAAAUAGCUAAUCACACUGAUAUCAUAGGCUAUAUGAUAAGUAGAAUUUUUAUAUUUGAAAUGGGUUGCUUUGCAGAUGUAUAAUAGAGGAAUUGUUAGAGCUUUGCUGUAUUGUGGAUAUUAAAUAAAGAACAUUCUAAAGAACAA